rnacentral:lncRNA from 1 species
CUCUUCCAAGACGAUUGCACAUCUUAUUCUUCAGGAUAUUUGGCAUUUGAUGAGGAAUUGUACUUCCCUCGAUAUUCGUCAUGUCUAUCAGAAAGUUAACAGUGUUGCUGAUUGGAUGACUUCUUAUGUAGCUAAGCAUACGGAGGGAGACUGUAUGGACUGACGUAGGAGAUAUUCUACGGACGUUUUGAGAGACUCUUUCUUUUGAUUUUUUAGAUGUAUUCAUGUUAUAUUUGCAAAGAGUAAAGUUAAAUAAGUACAAUAUAGGGGA